rnacentral:rRNA from 1 species
UACGUAGGUGACGAGCGUUAUCCGGAAUUACUGGGCGUAAAGCGCACGCAAGCGGUCUGACAAGUCUGGCGUGAAAUCCUCUGGCUUAACCAGGGGCGGUCGCUGGAGACUGUUGGGCUUGAGGCGAUGAGAGGGGUGCAGAAUUCCCGGUGUAGUGGUGGAAUGCGUGGAUAUCGUGAGGAACACUAGUGGCGAAGGCGGAUGUCUGGACAGUAUCUGACGCUGAGGCACGAAGGCCAGGGGAGCGAACGGG